CUUGCUUUGGAUUACUUUGCCAGCCGGUUGAGUAGCUCGCAAGAGAAGUGAGAGCGAAAUGGCUCCGGUUCCAUGUCUCCUUUCGCUUUUCGCAACGAGCGCCUUCUUUCUGGGAAGUUCCUUGGGUUCCUCUUCCCGUUCUUUUUGGACGAUGUAUACUUCUGUGACAAAACCCAGCCUGGGGAUGCCCCACUUCACUGCUGUGGCCUAUGUCGAUGACCAGCUCCUCGCGCGCUAUGACAGUAUCACGAGGAAGAUGCUACCCCAGACUCCCUGGAUGAAGAAGGCAGCAGAGGAGGACCCUCGGUACAUCGACCGGUACACUCAGAUCUUGCAGCAUGACGAGGAAAAUUUCAGAGGCGACCUGGUGAUGUUACGGAAACGGUACAAUCAAAGUGAAGGUUUUCACACGGUACAGAUGAUGAUUGAGUGCAAGGUGAGGCCGGACGGCCGCAAGGGUGGGUGCUGGCAGUACGGGUACGAUGGGCGGGACUUCAUCAGCUUUGACAUGGAGCACCUCCUCUGGACUGCGGCUGACCCCCAGGCGCAAGUGAUCAUGAGGACGUGGGAGACUGAAACAGGCCUGGUCCUGCGUCUCAAGUCCUACUUGGAGGAAAUCUGCACAGAGUGGUUCCAAAAAGACUCAGCCUACAGGGAGGAGGGCUUACGGAAAGAAGCCCCGGUGGUGAAGGUGACGAAGAAAGGGGACUACGAUGGCAUGGAAAUGCUCGUCUGCCAGGCUUAUGGCUUCUACCCUCGGGAGAUCGAUGCCUUGUGGACGAAGGACAGGGAGGUGUGGGUACAGGACACUUUUCAUAGAACGGUGGCCCCCAACUCAGACGGGACCUACCAUGCCUGGCUCAGUAUCAGGAUCGACCCCAAAGACAGCGACCGCUACCGGUGCCACAUCGAUCAUAACGGGCUGCAGGAGCCUCUGGAUUUGGCCUGGGAGGAACCAGCAUCCCUUAUUUGGCCAAUUAUUUUGGGUACCACAGGAGCCGUCUUUGCUGCGGUGGUUGUUGUCGGAGCUACUGUGCAAAUCAAGAAAUGGCGAGAUGGGUACCGAGCCGCCUCAGGUCAGUGAUUCCUCCCUCUUUCGACCUCUGAGAUGAAGGAGAGUCAGCUGAGGUGCCAUUUCUCGGAUCUGUGAGUUGCAAGGAGAGGCGUCUGGCCCUCAAAAUGAAGUGCAGCCGCGCACCGGGUGAUGGACAGGAAGGAGUCAAUCAAGGCAUGGAAGGAGGGUGCUCGGGACCUGCCUCUGUUGUUAGUAACCAUUGUAUGAAGAUUGAAGAGACGGCGGUAUCUUGUCUUUCGCUCCAAGCAGCCAAAUGGCUUGGGAUGGCCUUGGUUCAUGUUUGAGAGAAAGGAAGAAAAAGAGGAGACCACUUCAAAGAUCCUGAUUUCCUUUCCUUUCCUUUUUCAGCAAGUGACUCUGGGUCAGACAGCACUGGCAAAGAGUGACCCUUGUCGUCCAGGAAUGAGGGACUUCCAGCAACGAAAGCAGCUCCUUCUGGAUUCUCCUCUCUUUCACUGUGACUUCUUCAGUGACUCCAAACUGACUAUUGCUAGUUUAUAUUUGUGGUCCCUUUUGAUUGCAAAGAAGCUGACUUGAUCGCUCAGUGAGUUUAGGCCUCCAGCUGGUGAGCCAGAGGUUGGGAGUUCGAGUCCUACCUGUGCCUCCUGGAAGAAGAGCCAACCUGGGUAGCCUUGGGCGAGCUGAGAGCUUUUUAGGGGCUGCAGGUGUUACUUGUACAGUAAAGAGUUGGCUUUGAAUGGACGAGGGAGAGACUCAAGAAGUUGGAAAGAAGCGGAAGAACUAACAAGAUCAAAUCAACCAAAAGGAAUUUUCUGUAUUGGAGUGCUACAUAAACAGAGAUGCUGUGACUUAUCAGUGACUUGGGUGUUCGCCCAUUUGAUAUUCAUUUUGUAAUCUGACUUGGGAACACUUUCUUUUUACUGAAGGGGAGGAUACAUGAUGUCCAAAAAUGAAACAAACACACACACCCAAAAAGCUAGAAGAAUUGGCUGAAAACUAGUAUUAAUUCACAACCAAGAGUAGGCCCAUUGAAGAAAUAAACAGAGAAUAAAUCAGAUUCUGUAUUUGUGGUA